rnacentral:rRNA from 1 species
GACGAACCGUGCGAACGUUGUUCGGAUUCACUGGGCUUAAAGGGCGCGUAGGCGGACUCGCCAGUCUGUGGUGAAAGCCCCCAGCUUAACUGGGGAAGUGCCGUGGAUACUGCGAGUCUGGAGGAGGGUAGGGGCAUCUGGAACGCUGGGUGGAGCGGUGAAAUGCGUUGAUAUCCAGCGGAACUCCGGUGGCGAAGGCGGCUCACUGGCCCGGUACUGACGCUGAGGUGCGAAAGCGUGGGGAGCAAACAGG